rnacentral:rRNA from 1 species
UACGGAGGGGGCAAGCGUUGCUCGGAAUUAUUGGGCGUAAAGGGUAGGUAGGUGGUCUCAUUUGUCUGGGGUGAAAGCCUUGAGCUUAACUCAAGAAGUGCCCCAGAAACGGUGAGACUCGAGUCCUGGAGAGGGUCGUGGAAUUCCCGGUGUAGCGGUGAAAUGCGUAGAGAUCGGGAGGAACACCAGAGGCGAAGGCGGCGACCUGGACAGGAACUGACACUCAACUACGAAAGCGUGGGGAGCAAACAGG